rnacentral:rRNA from 1 species
UACGUAGGGUGCGAGCGUUAAUCGGAAUUACUGGGCGUAAAGCGUGCGCAGGCGGUUCUCCAAGUCCGUUGUGAAAGCCCCGGGCUCAACCUGGGAAUGGCAGUGGAAACUAGGGGACUGGAAUCUGGCAGAGGGGGGUGGAAUGCCGCGUGUAGCAGUGAAAUGCGUAGAGAUGCGGCGGAACACCGAUGGCGAAGGCAGCCCCCUGGGCUGAGAUUGACGCUCAGGCACGAAAGCGUGGGGAGCAAAAGGG